rnacentral:rRNA from 1 species
GUUUCAGCAGCCGCGGUAAUACAGAGGUCCCAAGCGUUGUUCGGAUUCACUGGGCGUAAAGGGUGCGUAGGCGGUCGGGUAAGUCUGAUGUGAAAUCUCACAGCUUAACUGUGAAACUGCAUUGGAUACUAUUCGGCUUGAGAGUUGGAGGGGGGACUGGAAUUCUUGGUGUAGCAGUGAAAUGCGUAGAUAUCAAGAGGAACACCAGUGGCGAAGGCGAGUCCCUGGACAACUUCUGACGCUGAGGCACGAAAGCUAGGGGAGCAAACAGGAUUAGAUACCCUCGUAGUCC